rnacentral:lncRNA from 1 species
GCCAACUAGUCAAAAGUCCGUUAACCAAAACAAAUAGGUUGUUCUGGCUAAUACUCAGGCUCACUUGGAGGGGAAGCACCAAAGAGAAAGAUGCAUGACCUAUUUAUAAAGAAGAGGAGUGCCUUACUAGAAGAUAAAUCAAAAUUUUUAUUAAUACGAAAGAUAAAACUUGCUGUUUAUAUUUAUCAAAUAUCCUUUGAACAAUG